rnacentral:rRNA from 1 species
CCUACGGGAGGCAGCAGUAGGGAAUAUUGCUCAAUGGGGGAAACCCUGAAGCAGCAACGCCGCGUGGAGGAUGAAGGUUUUCGGAUUGUAAACUCCUUUUGUUAGAGAAGAUAAUGACGGUAUCUAACGAAUAAGCACCGGCUAACUCCGUGCCAGCAGCCGCGGUAAUACGGGGGAUGCGAGCGUUAUCCGGAUUUAUUGGGUUUAAAGGGUGCGUAGGCGGCGCUUCAGGUCAGCGGUGAAAUACCGGGGCUCAACCCCGGGGCUGCCGUUGAAACCGGAGCGCUAGAAUUCCGAUGCCGUCGGAGGAAUGUGUGGUGUAGCGGUGAAAUGCAUAGAUAUCACACAGAACACCGAUUGCGAAGGCAUCUGACGAAUCGGAGAUUGACGCUGAUGCACGAAAGCGUGGGUAUCGAACAGGAUUAGAUACCCGUGUAGUC